rnacentral:lncRNA from 1 species
GCCGGAAGUGAGGCUGUGAGGCGGGUAGGCAUUGCCGGGUGAGUAAGUGUGUUAACGAGGCUUGCGAUAUCCCGCGUUUGGUAUUGCGAUCCCCUCCUUCUCCAGGCUCAGUUUGUGCGGCAGGCGGCGGAACCACUGAGCUAAAUCCCCGGCCCUGAGCUGAGACUCCAAAGUGCCAAGAACCCUGUCAAGUGGUAGUGUGGGAUAUGACCUACCUCGGCUACCAGGGAAGUCAGACAGGAGCCAAGGGGUGCCACUUGGUGUGGCCCUGAAGAAAAUUUUCCAUGGAUGACUGGAACACCCUUCUGUAUUACUCCCUGAAAUCACACUUUGGUUUCUUUCUGAUGCUUGAAACUAUUCUAUGAGCUACAAAGAUGGUAAUAAAUCUUUGCCUCCCACAGUUCAGACCAAGAAUUCACUGCAACAAGAUAUCAGCUGAUGGUUAUGAAGUAGAAAAUCUCAUCUCUGAAGACCUCACAAAGAGAAGCCAUGGUUUUAGGACAGAGUAUUUCAUUAAGCCACCAGUCCACGUGACAGUUUCCUUUCCCUUUAAUGUAUGCCAAAUCUGUAGGAUUCAUAGACCUCACAGCUUGGGGCAGCCAGAAUGUCACUGGCCUGGAGAUGUACACGUCCACCUUAUCCAGCAGAGCCUCUUGGAGUGGGCCCAAGUGCCAGGGCCUCAGCUCCACCGAGCCCUCCUGUGCCCAACAAAGAGGCGUUCACCUUGGUCGGCAAAGUCUUGCUGAAGAACCAGAGCCAAGUGGUAUUCAGCCAGGGCUUCCAAGGCCAGGCCACCUUUUAGCCCAGUGGAAGUCACACUUCCCUCCCCUGCAGUUAUGGCCCAGGAGCUCUGGAAUAAAGGGACUCUUUCCCUUUGCCAUGUGGCCCACCUCAGGAUCUGCAUCACCCACGUGACGGGCAGUGGUGUCCCUUGCAUCAAGAGGUUGGAGGCAGGGUCAGCCGGCCAAGACUUGCUCUCAGGAGGUGAUAGACAGUGUCUUGCUGGUGGCCUCAGAGAGUAUACCUCAGGACCUGGCCCUGCAGAACCGAGCCUCUGCCCAUGGAGAGUGACUGCCACCCGAAGGCCAAUCUGAGGGCCAGCAGGCCCCUUCCAGCCUCGAGGAGCUGGCUGAGGUGAUUUGGGAAGUGCCUGAGGAGUCUCCUGGAUCCCAUCACCCUGGAGAUCAUGCCCUGCCCCAUGCUGCUGCUCCUCGGGCAAGGUCAUCGAUCAGAGCACCCUAGAGAAGUGCUAACCGCAGUGAGGCCACUUGGGGCCGAGUGCCCAGUGACCCAUUCACAGGCAUUGCCUUCACCCCGCACUCCCAACCCCUGCCACACCCCACCCUGAAGGCCCGCAUAGACCACUUCCUGCUCCAGCACUCUGUCCCUAGCUGCCACCUGCUUGGGAGAGCACAGGCUGCACUCAGCAGUGACCCCUUCUUCCAUAACCCCUGCCUUCUCGGAAAAGGAAGCUGGAGCAGGGGCACCGGGCCCAGACAGUAGCCUUGGUGUGAACACUUCCUGCUUUCCUCCGGACCACAAAACUUUCUGGUCUCUUCCACUGCUUCAGAACAUUCCACCAAGAAAAUGAAGGCCACCGACGAGCCUAUCCUGAUGCACAUGGACUGCUCCACAGAAUCAGUGUCCCAUGAGCAAAAGCUGUCACAAAGCUUGAAAAUGGCCUUGAUGACCACCCUUGGCUCUAUGCCUUCCUUCACACCCCGGCUGAAUAGGGGGACAGCUCCAGCACCUGGGCACAAGAGGAAGCAGCACUUCGGGAGGCCAGGCGCCAGCUCAGGGCAGCCUGGCUGCCACCCAGGCCCCGAGUGCACCUCCUGCAAAAGAGUGUUUUCUUCCUACUUCAAAAAAGGAGCCCAUGUACCAGCUGCCCUGUGGCCACCUCCUGUGCCGCCCUUGCCUGGGUGAGAAGCAGCACUCCCUGCCCAUGACCUGCACAGCCUGCCAGCAGCCCUUCACCAGCCAGGAUGUGCUGCGGGUGCACUUCUGACUGACCAGCCUCAGCUGGAGACAGCCAUCACUGGAAGGAGCCAGUGGGGAGCAGGAUUGGGGUCACAGCACCUCUGCGGUUUGGCCAGAGACAGGCACAGAGCUGCCUGUUCUCUUUCUGGGCUUUGUCACCUCACAGUGCAGCACAGGGGUGGGGGGCAGGCUUACUUCUAUUCAGGUGGCCACAAGAUAAAGCCAUAGACUGGGUAGGGAGGGUUGGGGAGAUAUCCCUGCUCUCCUGUACCUCCCUGCCAUGCCCCUGCCAACACCUGCCCAGGGUGGGCACCCCUCCUGAAGGCAUCCCACAUUGUCUGCACACCCCCUCCCAGCAAAGCCUGCAGAGUGGGGCACAGUGAACUGCUCAGGGUCACCCAGAAGUAAACCACACGGGGCUUGGGGUGCAUGACUCAGCCCCUGCCCCCAGCUGGCAACACCUGUGGCCUUAAUAAAGUGAUGGUUGACGUCCUCCUUGGGGAGCACCUGUGUCAUCAUACUCCUGUCCCCAUUUGUCCAUUAAGUGACUGUCACGGGGCACCCAUGAAAGGACAAAAGCUAGAUGGCGUGUUCAGUCUGCCCUGUGUUGGAGGGCCCCAGGUCAGGGUUUGCAGUAGGCAUCACCGUGGGGGCUGUGUAGCCUCCAUCUGCAAGGUACCUGUUGCAGCUGUCAUGGAGAAAACACCUGUGCAGCAUGUGGCCCAUUUCAGGAAAAAAUUUGUGUUUAUAGGCUGUCUUUGUUUUUUUUUCUAUUCACAAUCUAGCUUUAUGGAGUCCCAAAGGAUAUGUAUUCCUACAGCUUUGCUUACCAUAUCAAAUAGAUUCUAGUCACCUGAAGAUUCAGUGAGGAAAUACACCACGCUAUUCUGUGCACUUCCGGAGCACACUGGGGAGACUCAGCCUGACGUGCUCCUGCUUAACCCCUGAGGUUAAUGGCAAGCCUUGUGGGCAGCCCAUUUCUUGUCCCC